GAUGAACGCUGGCGGCGUGCCUAACAUAUGCAAGUCGAGCGAUUCUCUUCGGAGAAGAGCGGCGGACGGGUGAGUAACGCGUGGGUAACCUGCCCUGUACACACGGAUAACAUACCGAAAGGUAUGCUAAUACGAGAUAAUAUACUUUUAUCGCAUGGUAGAAGUAUCAAAGCUUUUGCGGUACAGGAUGGACCCGCGUCUGAUUAGCUAGUUGGUAAGGUAACGGCUUACCAAGGCGACGAUCAGUAGCCGACCUGAGAGGGUGAUCGGCCACAUUGGAACUGAGACACGGUCCAAACUCCUACGGGAGGCAGCAGUGGGGAAUAUUGCACAAUGGGCGAACGCCUGAUGCAGCAACGCCGCGUGAGCGAUGAAGGCCUUCGGGUCGUAAAGCUCUGUCCUCAAGGAAGAUAAUGACGGUACUUGAGGAGGAAGCCCCGGCUAACUACGUGCCAGCCGCCGCCGUAA
rnacentral:rRNA from 1 species